GUAGUUAGCCGGGGCUUUCUUACAGGGUUACGUCACUUCCUUCGUCCCCUGCGACAGAGGUUUACAAUCCGAAAACCUUCAUCCCUCACGCGGCGUUGCUGGGUCAGGCUUGCGCCCAUUGCCCAAUAUUCCCCACUGCUGCCUCCCGUAGGAGUCUGGACCGUGUCUCAGUUCCAGUGUGGCCGAUCAGCCUCUCAGCUCGGCUACCCAUCGUCGGCAUGGUGGGCCGUUACCUCACCAUCUACCUAAUGGGACGCGAACCCCUCCUAAAGCGAUAAAUCUUUGACCCCUCUGUCAUGUGACUGCGUGGUCUUAUGCGGUAUUAGCAUCGAUUUCUCGAUGUUAUCCCCCUCUUUAGGUCAGGUUGUUCACGCGUUACUCACCGUCGCGCCACUAAGAUAUACAUGUAUUGUCUACGCGUAUAUCUCCGUUCGUACUUGCAUGUUGUUAGGUCGACGCCGCCACGCGUUCGUCCUGAGCAGANANACUACUACUACAGAGCGGCGGCGCGACGACGCG
rnacentral:rRNA from 1 species